AAAGUCGUAACAAGGUUUCCGUAGGUGAACCUGCGGAAGGAUCAUUACCGAGAGACGGGCCCUAACCGGUCCCAACUCUUCACCCCUGUCUACCGAAAUAUGUUGCUUUGGCGGGCCAACCGGGCUUCCCCGGGGAAGGCUGACCCCUUCUCGUGCCCGCCAAAGGCCUCAAUAAACCCUGUGAUCAGUGUCGUCCGAGUAAAAACAAUCGUUAAAACUUUCAACAACGGAUCUCUUGGUUCCG
rnacentral:misc_RNA from 1 species